GUAGUCGAACAAAAGUAGGCACUUAAACGCGUUUCAAUUUGGGUAUUAUUUUUCUUAUGAAUUUUGGAUUUUUGUCUUGUUUAGGUUCAACUAGUUUUAUUGAAUGAAUAAAAAUAAAUGAAAUGUCUCAUUUAGGAACUUUUGAUACAAAUGAAGUAGCACGCUUAAGAGAAGAGUAUCUUCGAUCCUUGGCUCAUCUUGGCAGUUUCCAUGCCAAAAUUAAAAUGCACGAAAACAUUAAGCUUUCUGGAAUUUAUAAAGGCUGCAAUCCAGAUGGAAGUAAAUUUUUUUUUUCAAAUGCACUUGUGCCAAUGUGUAAAGAGCCUAGCAAUGUUCUCUUGAGAAAAUCAGAUAUUAUAUCUGUUUCUUUCUCUGAUAAGUAACUUGAACUGUAAUUAAAGGCAUCAUGAUUCCUCCAUCUGAACUAUUGGCUAUGUUUAAUGAUUCAAAAUGUUUAAUUUUAUUUUUCUGGGCUCUUUCUUUCCAGGAUAAAAUGAUUCUGGACCAAGCUUUGUACAAAAUGCUAGCUAUUAAUUGUAGCUCUUUGUUUGUGAGUGAUCUGAUAAUAAGUGACUUUCUACAAAACUUAAAUAUUAAUACAGUGAGACAACAUAUUGAAAGGAAGAAACAUGAACAUUUUUUUAAUGCGAGUGCAAUGAAGUGAUAACUGGACAAAAGAAAGAAGAGUGCUUAAAAGCAUUUUUGAAUGUUGAUCAAACAUAUACAAGUGUUCACAAAGCUUGCCAUUUUAUCACCAGAGUCAUCCUAGGUUUGUUUAAAUGUGUUUCCGGAACCUGUUUCCUUUCAGUGUUUGUCAAAGUAUAAAUGCAAUUACCUUCCACCAAUAAUGUGCUCAUGUAUGUUGCAGUCAAUGUCAUUGGGUUGAUAAUGUUCUAAGUAAUGAAAAACUGAUCGUGAAACACCUGAUACUAUGCUAUCAGGUAUACCAUGCUUAUUUAAAAAUCAUAUUGUAUGAAAGACUUAACAGCCAUAACAGACCAACAUAAUAAUUUAUAAAGUAAAGAAAAUGAAUGUAAAAGAUGCAGCAUAUUCAGUCUUAUAUACUGACCUACUGAACCAAAUUGAAGAGGUAAUUCUUUAUAUAUCAAAUAGAUUAAUCAUUCAGGAAACUUAAUUUGAUUCCACAUUUAUAAAGAUUCCCAGAUAUUUGUGCAACUAACAAACUUAAACCCUCUAGAGGUAUGUAUAAAAGAGACAUAGUGGAAUAAGAUUUUCCCAAAUUUGUGAAACAGCCCAGUGUUUAAAUUAAUAUAUCAUUUCAAGUUUGGAGGAAGAAGUGUUCUUUGUUCGUAAUGGUUUUAAACUUUCCUAUGUAAUAAUUUUUUUUAAUUAUUUUUCUUUGCAUUUUCUGCAGAUAUAGUUACAUUAAAAUUGAGUAUUCUAAACUUUGUAUGUUGUUUUUUAAAAUUUAUCUGCCAUUAUUGUUUAUUAAAAUUUGUAUCAAUUUAUUCAAUUAAUAUUUUUUUAAAACUUUAUUGCUAUAAGAAUAAAGUUAAAAAGCUGUAAACUGAAUUAAAAGUGUAAAUAAAAUGGCCUUCAUAUGAAAAUAUGUAAGUGAGAUUCUUUAACUGGAAAUAAAACUCUACAACAUUAUA
rnacentral:lncRNA from 1 species